rnacentral:rRNA from 1 species
UAGAUUUGAUCCUGGCUCAGAAUCAACGCUGGCGGCGUGCCUAACACAUGCAAGUCGAACGCGAAAGGGGCUUCGGCCCUGAGUAGAGUGGCAAACGGGUGAGUAACACGUGGGUGACCUGCCUUCGAGCGGGGGAUAACGUCCCGAAAGGGACGCUAAUACCGCAUGACAUCCUGCCUUUGGAAAGGCGGAGAUCAAAGCUGGGGAUCGCAAGACCCGGCGCUCAAAGAGGGGCCCGCGCCUGAUUAGCUAGUUGGUGAGGUAACGGCUCACCAAGGCGACGAUCAGUAUCCGGCCUGAGAGGGCGGACGGACACACUGGGACUGAGACACGGCCCAGACUCCUACGGGAGGCAGCAGUGGGGAAUUGUUCGCAAUGGGCGCAAGCCUGACGACGCAACGCCGCGUGGAGGAUGAAGAUCUUCGGGUCGUAAACUCCUGUCGAGCGGGAAGAAUACUUUCCGGGUGAACAGCCCGGGAGGCUGACGGUACCGCUAAAGGAAGCCCCGGCUAACUCCGUGCCAGCAGCCGCGGUAAUACGGGGGGGGCAAGCGUUGUUCGGAAUUACUGGGCGUAAAGGGCCAGUAGGCGGCCAACUAAGUCGGACGUGAAAUCCCCAGGCUCAACCUGGGAACUGCGUCCGAUACUGGAUGGCUUGAAUUCGGGAGAGGGAUGCAGAAUUCCAGGUGUAGCGGUGAAAUGCGUAGAUAUCUGGAGGAAUACCGGUGGCGAAGGCGGCAUCCUGGACCGACAUUGACGCUGAACGGCGAAAGCUAGGGGAGCAAACGGGAUUAGAUACCCCGGCUACAAUGGCCGGUACAAACCGUCGCGAUGCCGCAAGGUGGAGCUAAUCGGAGAAAACCGGUCUCAGUUCGGAUUGCAGGCUGCAACUCGCCUGCAUGGAGUUGGAAUCGCUAGUAAUCACGGAUCAGCACGCCGCGGUGAAUACGUUCCCGGGCCUUGUACACACCGCCCGUCACAUCACGAAAGCUGGCUGUACUAGAAGUCGCCGCGCUAACCCGCAAGGGAGGCAAGCGCCUAAGGUAUGGUUAGUGAUUGGGGUGAAGUCGUAACAAGGUAACCGUA